UGGGGAAUUUUGGACAAUGGGGGAAACCCUGAUCCAGCCAUCCCGCGUGUGCGAUGAAGGCCUUCGGGUUGUAAAGCACUUUUGGCAGGAAAGAAACGUCAUGGGUUAAUACCCCGUGAAACUGACGGUACCUGCAGAAUAAGCACCGGCUAACUACGUGCCAGCAGCCGCGGUAAUACGUAGGGUGCAAGCGUUAAUCGGAAUUACUGGGCGUAAAGCGUGCGCAGGCGGUUCGGAAAGAAAGAUGUGAAAUCCCAGAGCUCAACUUUGGAACUGCAUUUUUAACUACCGGGCUAGAGUGUGUCAGAGGGAGGUGGAAUUCCGCGUGUAGCAGUGAAAUGCGUAGAUAUGCGAAGGAACACCGAUGGCGAAGGCAGCCUCCUGGGAUAACACUGACGCUCAUGCACGAAAGCGUGGGGAGCAAACAGG
rnacentral:rRNA from 1 species